GAUGAACGCUGGCGGCGUGCCUAAUACAUGCAAGUCGAGCGAACAGAUGAGGAGCUUGCUCCUCUGACGUUAGCGGCGGACGGGUGAGUAACACGUGGAUAACCUACCUAUAAGACUGGGAUAACUUCGGGAAACCGGAGCUAAUACCGGAUAAUAUAUUGAACCGCAUGGUUCAAUAGUGAAAGACGGUUUUGCUGUUACUUAUAGAUGGAUCCGCGCCGCAUUAGCUAGUUGGUAAGGUAACGGCUUACCAAGGCAACGAUGCGUAGCCGACCUGAGAGGGUGAUCGGCCACACUGGAACUGAGACACAGUCCAGACUCCUACGGGAGGCAGCAGUAGGGAAUCUUCCGCAAUGGGCGAAAGCCUGACGGAGCAACGCCGCGUGAGUGAUGAAGGUCUUCGGAUCGUAAAACUCUGUUAUUAGGGAAGAACAAAUGUGUAAGUAACUAUGCACGUCUUGACGGUACCUAAUCAGAAAGCCACGGCUAACUACGUG
rnacentral:rRNA from 1 species